AUUGCGUGUCAAUUAUCACCCCGUCACUGCUGUGAUAGAUGUCACACUAAAUUUUAGGAAGCUCAAGGCCGGAGAAGUUUACAGGUUUCCUGGCGAGAAUACUAGACUGACAUUGCACUCAAUUGUUAUCGUUGGGUAUGGUAUAAAGGAUGGCAUUAAUUAUUGGAAAGUAAUGAAUAGUUGGGGCACGCAAUGGGGAGAGGAUGGAUACGGACUAAUAUGCCGAGAUUCAAGUUUACCUCCCAAUGGAAAACCACUUCUACUUAGAUGUUCCUAUCCGAUUAUUAAUGGCGAGCGGACAGGCCGAAAGAAGAGAAAGAGAAAGAGAAAGAGAAAGAGAAAGAGUAGGGGGAAGAGUAGGAGGAAGAGUAGGAGGAAGAUGAAGAGGAAGAGGAAGAGAAAGAGAAAGAGAAAGAGAAAGAGAAAGCGAUUCCAUUAAUGUUUCAUUCUCUGAAUCUUCAGUUCUUUGAACUUAUUAAUGGCAUUUGCCACACAAUUUAUACCAGAAUGGAGACUUACGUUCAGAAUAGA